AUUUUUACUAAUGGCCAAUCACAUGCGAGAUUCGACUUCUGAAUCUAAUCAAGUGUGGAAGUGGGAUUUGAAGUCUUUUUCCACGCUUCUCUUCCACACACUCAUUUGCGAUCUUCGUACAUUUGUCAUCUUGUGUCUUCAUGGUAAGACCAAGCCAAGUCAGCCUCCCCUUUUGUUCAUACAGGAAUCAGAUGAUGGAACAGAACCGUACGAAGAAGUCCAAAUAUCACCACCUUCUGUUUACGCCGAGCUUGACAGUAACCGACAAGACGAAACAACAAAUGAUGGCACCUACCAGAAAUUGUUAAAACGCGACUCAGAUUAUGUAAUACCCGCUCAUACUGAAGCAGAAUCAUCGUACGAAGAGGUUGGAAAGAGAAAAUCACCCCCUGGCUACACAGAGCUGGACAACACGAAACGAGUACAGGGUGAUAGCGCUGAUUACCAAAAAUUGAUAAAGAAAUAACAGAGUCAGAGUGUGGAAAUCAGGUUUAAUUCUUACACUGAUCUAAACUACGACUGGACAGUCAAAUGCUUUACAAAUCGAAUCUUCAGGUGUCGAAAUUAGUUUUACUAUCAAGCAAAUGUCUUUUCCUAUUUAACUUAGGAUCACUAAGGAAGUUUACCGUAGAAAAGCGAAAAUACGUAGUUUA